UACAGAGGGUGCAAGCGUUAAUCGGAAUUACUGGGCGUAAAGCGCACGUAGGUGGUUUGAUAAGUCGGAUGUGAAAUCCCUGGGCUUAACCUGGGAACUGCAUUCGAUACUGUCAAACUAGAGUCUGGUAGAGGGUGGUGGAAUUCCAGGUGUAGCGGUGAAAUGCGUAGAUAUCUGGAGGAACAUCAGUGGCGAAGGCGGCCACCUGGACUGAGACUGACACUGAGGUGCGAAAGCGUGGGGAGCAAAC
rnacentral:rRNA from 1 species